rnacentral:lncRNA from 1 species
GAGGCUUGACUUGUGACAUCCACCCCUCUUCACGGCUGAGGAACUUUGGCCCCGAGCGAGGAAGCGACCGGCCCACGGCCACACGCCCGGAGUGGGGGGCAGCAUCUUCUACUAUGUGCAUCUACAUUGGAUGGCAGUGGAGCAACACAGAUUGUUUUCUGACAAAAAUCAGCCAAGUACUAGGAGAGGCAGGACUUUAGAAGUGGAGGAGAUGGAGAAGGAAGCUUAGGUUACUAUGGAGUGUGCAAAAAGGUCCUGUGGAUUUAGAUACCACCACACACAAAUGCUGUUGUUGGAAGGUACCUGCCCAGAUAAGGACUGCAUUUCCUCUAGCAUCCAGAUGGGACCAAAUGACUGCUGGCCAAUAGAAGUGAGUGGAAAGGACUGACUCCAGUUCCAGGUUGGGCCUCCAACUGCUCUGGGCACGUCGAUGGAACAGAACACCACCUCCACCCCAAUACCACCAAUUCAACUUUACAUGAAUUAUAAGCGAGAAAUAA